GGGGGACACGAGGGGCAUUCAGUGCUGCCCAUGGGGUGGUGGGGCUGUGGCAAAGCCCUGGGUAAGGAUUUGCUGGGAGGGGGUGGCAGCCAGCGCUGGCACGGGCUGUUCCCACAGCCACAGUGCAGAGCGGGGCUGGAGCUGCCUGCCUGCCCCUGCUCCCACUGCUGUUACCCUUUGCCUUCAGGAAUGGCCCCCACGAGCAUGAAUUCCUGCUGUGCCUGCUCCAUCGUGCCGGGAGGGGGUUUUCUUGUGUAUUUUCUGUGCCUGUGCCCCUUCCCCCGCCCGCGGGGGCGAUGCCGGGGGCGGCCGCGGUGAAUCAGAGCGGUGUGAUGCGUGUGAUGCGUGUGGUCCCACCCGGGGGUGGGCACGGGGGGAGUCAGAGCUCCCCACCGAGGGGGAGCCAGGCUGAGGGGCACCCAGGGCACGUCCUGGCAGUGCCGAGGGGCUGUGGCACUCCUGGUCCCGCUCGGGUCUCCGAUGGAUCCGCAGCAGGAGUUGCUGCCCCCUGCGCUCUGCGGGCUUCCCUGGGGGCUUGGCCCAUGCAGGGAUGUUCAGCGAUUGCUGAUGCACCAACGUGCCCUGGCUGGCAGGGAGGAGCUGCUGCAGGAGCUGCAGCCACAGAGCCAUGGAGGCACAAGGGGAAGAUGAAUUCCUGAAGCCAGGAAUUGUUUAGUCCUCUCUCCAAGGCAGGAGUGCGUGUGUUGUGUUGGGACCAGGGUCUGUUUUUUCACAUGUCAGAGAUCUGUGUCUGCUGAAGGAGACCUGGACACUGGUGAUGGCACUUUGCUCGUGGGGGUGAAUUUGAUGGCAUUUAGUGGGAUUUAGUCUCCAGCAGAGCGUUACAGUGGGGUUUGUGCUGGGGAAGUGACACCCUUAAUUGCACUGAAAUUUGGAAAUGCUGGUGUGAAUCAGAGCAAGCACUGAAGGAGAAGAAUGCAGCCACCAUCAUCUGCUGUGGCUCAGCCUGGGGGUCCUGUGUGGAGCCAGAGCUCUGGGAAGUGCUGGAGCAGGGCUGGGAGGUACCAGCACACUCCUCCGUGUCCAGCCUGCUGUGGUGGAGGCUCUGCUAUUCUCCAGAGCAGCUGAAACCACUUCUGAGCAUGGUGUCUCCACAGGUCCCAGCUUUGCAAUUCCUGCUGAGCAAGAAAAGUCCUGUCAGGCCCCGAGCCCAGCGUGGGGGGACACAGAGAUUAAACCUCUGUCACCCCCACCUGUGAGAGCUGCUGCCAGAGGUAGCCCGGUCCUGCCAGAGCCUGGGGCAGGGAUCCCCAUCCCACAGGAGCAGGAGGAGGAGGAGGGAAGCCAUCCCAGCUGGGAUGAAGGGUGGGCUGAACCUCCUGCUGUGAUGUUCAGGGAUGGGGCACUCCUGUUAGCACAGCUCUCAGGGCAGGGAAACAGGAUCAGAGCUCAUUGCCUUUAAUCUUUCAGCAGUGAGUAUUUAGGAAGUGCUUAUCUCCAAAAAAGCUUUAUGAUGGCUUUUGAGCUUACAGAGCUAUGAGACCCUUCCAGCUCAGAGUUUUCUGUGAUUCCGUGGCUGCUCUGCUGCACUCGGCAGGGGUUUGCUUUGCCUUAGAUCUAACCACAAAGUUAAAAUUGCUGAAUGCAGCCAAGAGGGCACUUCCCCUCUUUUCUCUGCUGACUGCAGAGCUGAUGUUUCCUCAGCAGAAAAAUGUUUUGGGUUAAAACCCUCGACACUGUCUUAGCUCUGCCUGGGUAUUGGAGAGAGGGGGGAACUGCAGUAAGUGGUGUCCAGCCUGGAACUGUGUGGGUGUUGGUGCUGGCCUGAGGGAGAGAGCCUUGUCUGGGGCUUUGGGGAGCUGAAAAUGGGCUUUGAGGAGGUGAAAAUGGGCUUUGAGGAAGUGAGACCAGAUUUGAGUAGAUCAGGAGCAUCUGCAGAGCUGUGUGGGGCUUUGCUUUCUCCCACCUGGUUAAAGCAGAGCCACGGGCAGCUUGGUUUGUUGAGCUGGCCCAAAGCCACCCCUGUGGCCACUUGCCAAACCUCUGGUGGUCCCCUCGGAGCUGCUUAAGCAGCUGGGGAUGGUUUUGGGAUGCUGACAGCUGCGCCAGAGUGGUGCCUGGGGACCACAGACCCAUUAGCCAGGGCUGGCUGGAGUCUCUUAAUGGGCUGUGGCUGGUUCCUUCUCUCCUCGUGGGAGAAGCUGCUGGAAGUGUCACCUCCUUGUAGGCAGCAAUGACAUCUUGCUCUUCUGAAGGCUGGUUCUCGUGAAGCUGCUGGAGCAGCCGCCAGCCAGGAGUCUGAUGCUCUGUCAUCAUCUUCCUUCAUAUUUAAUGCUCCAGGAAGCAGGACUGCUCCUUUCUGCCUCUUCACCACUUGUGGAGUGACCACAUCUUGUCAUCACCUGCCAGGGAGACGGGUGGCUGAGACACGUGGUGGCAGCAGCAGGACUGUCCUGCAGGGACCUCGGGGUUUAUGUAACAUUUGUCAGAGUUGAGAGCAGGUUUGGGGCCACCCAGGCCCUGCUUUUGGCAGAGGACAGCCCUUGGCUAAAUCAAUCAGAGAGCCCAGUGCAACAGCCCAGACAUCUCACCUGUUCCAUUCAGCUGUUCCGCUUUAGAAAGCAGAAAUAAAUACUGGAGCUCAGCAGGGACUGCUCACAGCAAAGGCUGGGGAGCAGAAGUUUUGGAGGAGGGGGUUCAGGGUGUGUGAUGCUCACAGGCUUCUCCUGAGCUGCACCAGCCCCUCUUUGCACCAGCUGGUCCAGCUUGGUCUGUAAGUCCCACAUCACCUGGCCCCUGUCCUCCUGCUGGUUUUGUGGAGUUUUCCAGAUGAGGACGAGUGUUGCAGCAUGAAGUGGCUGAGGAGUUAAAACACCUCAUGGUCUGCAGCCCAGACUGACAUAGCUCUAAACCAGCUCCAAGUGGCACCAGGCUGCAGGAGUGGUUUCCCAGCCCCCAAGCCCUGUCCUGGUCAGGGGCAAUGCUGUGGUUGGGGGUUGUUGCUGCUGAGUGUCACAGUAAGCCAGGCUUUUAUUCCUUGUGAAUCAGUCCCAAGCUGCUGUUCCACACAAGGAGUGAGGGCUGAGAGCCUCAUGUGCCUCAUCUUCCUCGUGGAGUAACUGAGAUGGGGCUGACCUGUGUUGAAAACCGGGAGAGCAAACCAAUUCCAUUCACUUCACAUCCCUGAUGAAGAAGAAUGAAAACAAUAUUAAGAUUAAACAAUCGCCAAGGAACCUCAAGUGCUGUAAUUUCAUUAAAGGCUGGUUGUGAUCAGGCCAUGAAAUCAAGGUCAUGAUGAGUUUGGGACCUGGAUUGAAUCAGCAGCUCAGCAAUGAAGUUAUGUUGGUUCAAAGUAUUUAUCAAAUCAUAUUAGCACUGUGAGCAAUUGGAUUUCUGCAUUGGGCUGAGACAAAACUGGCUGUAAUUCAGCCUAAAUAGCAAUGCUGGGGCUGGGUGUUUGUCCUGAAAGGCUGUGCCUGACCCAGAUGACAGUGGGUGACCCUGGGUGGGCAGUGGGGGCCGAGCUCAGCCUCUGCCUUCACCCACCCCUGCUCCCAUGGGAAUAUUUUAAACAUUAAAUACCACUGUGCCAAAUAACCUGUGGGGUGUGGGGUUUUAUCAGCUUUUGUCAUUGAAACCUCAUUUGGAUAUUCCCAUCAGGAGAAAUAAUUUUAGGUGUAGGUCAGGAAGCUGCAAAUGACACAGAGCUUGCACAAACCAGGUUACGAGGUUUAUGUGAAAGUCAAACAGGGAAGGACUCCGAGCUCUCUCCGACUCUCUCCAGGUUUCACUGGGAUUUAGGCUGAGGGAGGACAUAUGCCCAAACCCAGCAAGAGAAGAGAAACCCCUUCCAGUCUCUAAAGAGGCUACGAGAGAGGGACUUAGAACAAGGCCUGGAGUGCCAGGACAAGGGGGAAUGGCUUCCCAGUGCCAGAGGGCCGGGUUAGAUGGGAUACUGGGGAGAAAUUCUUCUCUGUGAGGGGGUGAGGCCCUGUCAGAGAGUGCCCAGAGAAGCUGUGGCUGCCCCAUCCCUGGGGGUGUUCCUGGAAGUGCCUGUGCAGCUCAGGGCUGUGUUGGGUACCAAAUCUGUGCAGUGAGCUGCUGACCCAGGCUGUUCCUGCACUGAGGAAUGUUUCUUCUGAACAUUCCUGAACGUUUUAGGCAGGAGAAGGUGAAGCCAGCGUUCCCCUGCUGCUCUGCUCUCUGGGUUUUAUGUAACACCAAUGUGUGCCUGGCCGGGCAGCAGCAGGGCAGGGCUGGGGCUGCUGCAGAUGUGACCAAACGAGGGGAGACAGCCCUUCCCAGGGGAGGAGGGCAGCCUGGCGUCCCUGGCUCUGGGGGCUGGCUCCCCGGGAUCUGCUCUGCCUUUCCCAUCACCUUGGAUAACCAUCAGCAGCCCUGGCCUGGCUUUGAUCCCCACUGGAGCUUUGGCUGCAGCCGAGCUGGGGAGGCUGGUGGGCAGCACAGCAGGGCCAGGGCCUUCCCUUCUCCUGGCUGGGGGUGCUGGUGCUGUGUGGGGCACGGGGAGGUUAUCCCCUCCCUGGGAAACCUGCAGGGCUCCCCUGUGGUUCUGGGGGGCUCCUGUGGUGACCAGUGGUGGCCAUUCCUUGCCAAGGGGCUGUUGUUUUAUUUGCCAUAUUACAGGAGAGGUUGGUCAGGGCUCAUCCUGAGCUCUGCUCUCCUUCCUGGCUGUGGAGGAGCCCGGGAUACCCCUGGGCUGGGAUCCAGCGGGGCCCUGCCUGGCUGGACACGGCAGCCAGCCCCCCUGGGUGACACACGGGGCUGGGUGGGGGCUGCAGGGGCCAGGAGGGGACAGUGCCUCCCCCGGGGCUGCUCCAGGGUCUGCCAGCUGCCUCGCAAGCAGCAGUUUCUGGGAAUGAGGAAAAGUUGUCCAGGCUGAGGAUCCCUGGCUGCUUGCUCUGCUCAUUUUGCCGCUGUGCUGUGAUGGGGUUUUAGCAGGUUUGCCUUGAGUCUGUUCCUCAGCUCAGAUGCUCUUCCCCUGCUAAUCAACCUAACUUCUUUUUUAUCCUAUCCCAUUUCUAGCUAUUCUCCCUCGUGAUUGCCUAAGCAAAUCCUCCCUUCUCUCCAUAUUUACUCCUUCCAGGUAUUUCAGCCUGCUGCAUCGAUCCAGCACAGUCCUCUCUCUUCCCUGACCUUUCCUUUCUCUUUUCUCACUGCUCUGUACCACUGGUCCUGACCAAUUCCUCCUUGGGAUGAGAGCUGGAGUUGGCACAGCCCCUCCCUGCUCUGCAUCCCUCCUGGUGCUGGGUGGAAGCGUGCCUGCCAUGUGCUCCUCUGGGCUUUCUGGCCCCAAAAUUCAUGGCUGUGCUGUGCUGGUGACCCCAAGGCAGCUCCAGCCUGCUGGGGGUCCCCUCUUAUCCCUGGGGCCAGCCCUUGGCUCAGCCUGGUCGGUGUCAAACACACAAAGAAGGAUCUGGAGUGAUGAUCCCUGUGGUGGAGAUCAGCACUGCCCUUGGCUCGUGUUGCCUGUGUUUGCACGUUCCAGGCUGGGAUGGGAGGUCUGAACUCAUUUCCCAGUGAGGCUGUGGUUAUCAAAGGCUCGGCUGGAGCUCGCUGCUGCUCCACCUGCGCUGACAGCAGCGUGUGCCCCUCGCAGCUCGGGGCUUGACAUUUCUCAGCUGCUCUUUGAUCUGCACCUCCCUGAGGAGCUGUCACUGUGGCCUUGGGGAGGUGGCAGGGCUGCGUGCCCUGGCUUUCUGUGCGGGACGACAGCGGCUGCUCGAGCUGGGACUUGGCAGCAGCUCGUUCCCUUUUCAUCUGCUCGUGCUCCCAAUUCUCUGUCUGACCUGUGGGGUGACUGGCUUUGGCUUUGGCACGGGCACUGCCCGCCGUGGCUCCAGCCCCGCUUGGUGCCCGCUUGGGGGUCCCUGGCAGCCGGGGGUGCCCCAGGAGCGGGCAGGAGCCCCGGCAGCAUCCUGGCAGAAUCCCAGCAGGCAAAGCCCCUGCCCGUGCUGACACUGCUAAUUAGGUCAGCAGCUCCUGGUGAAUUGGAAGUGGAUGCGGGAGGCGGGGGGGCGCGGCACGGGGGAGUUAUUUGAGGCCUCUCCAACCUAGAAACCCAGAAAAGAUUUUCUGGAGCUGUUGGGUGGCUCUGGUGAAUGCCCUGGCUUUGGGCACGACCACCGCCCUGGCUGCCUCCCUGCCUGCUUGGAUCACAGAUAGGUCCUUCAAACUAGGAAUUUUAUUUAGAUGAUUCUUAACCUGUGAAUUUAAAGCUGACAACCUCAAUUAAUCAAGAUCUCAGUUUACAGUGCAGUGCUUGAGUGGUUCAUGCUUGUCAGUGGGGUCCUGGGGAAGCUGCUGAACCUGGCAGGGAAGCACCUCGCCCCAGCCCUUACAGGGGAUCCGGUCAUGCCAAGCUGAGAAAAGUGUUUGGUUGUGGUUCAGAGUGUGAGGUGGCUGAGAUUUCCCCCAUUUCUGAGGAAUGGAGAUGAGAGCAGCAGCCCUGAGGUCCUGGUGGGCACCUGGCUGCAGGUGAAGCCUCCCUCCUGGGUAAGGCAGAGCUUCUCCUUGGAAUGCAGUGCCAAGAUCUUACACUGUGCUUUGUGUGUUACUUUUCCCCUGUGCAUCUGGCAUAUAUAACAGGCUUUUUAUUUAAAUUUGCCUUUCUGGGCGUUAUCUGAAAGCCCACUGUCAUUCUGAGCAAACCCAAACUGAAAACCACCUCGUGAACAAGGAGUGUCGCUCGCCAUUUUGUGAUGGAAUAAAAUCAAGGCUCUGGAUAAAUCAAUGGCACACGGAGCAUAUUUACAUAAAGUAUAUAAAGCUCUGAGUACUAAGUUUAGAGUGUGGGCUCUGCGCUCGCGCAGCGGCGUGUUCCGACUGGCUGAGACAAGCCUUUCCUCAGCACAGGAAUUAGCAGGAGCCUUGCAAAACCAGCCUGAGAGCAGGGGUGUAAAUCAGGCUUGUGUACCUGCGUAUUUAAAUCCUGCUGAAAGCUGGAGCUCUCACGCUGCUAAGAUCAGGGUUUCUCCCUGUGUUGUGGUGUGUCUGGGCUGGAGCCUUGCCCGCCCGCCGUGCCUGACCCAGGGAUGGGGAUCCUGCAGGGAAUCGUGGCGGGAUGGGCCUCGUGCUACUGAGCCAAAUUAGCCAGAGCUGAGCUCUUUUCACUCCUCACCUUCUCAUUCUUGAUGGCCCAGUUAGUAAAUUAAGCAGGAUGAUGGG